rnacentral:rRNA from 1 species
GAUGAACGCUAGCGGCGUGCCUAAUACAUGCAAGUCGAACGAGAUCUUCGGAUCUAGUGGCAGACGGGUGAGGAACACGUGGGAACAUCCCUUUCAGUUCGGAAUAACGUUGGGAAACUAACGCUAAUACCGGAUACGUCCUUCGGGAGAAAGAUUUAUCGCUGAAAGAUUGGCCCGCGUCUGAUUAGCUAGUUGGUGAGGUAACGGCUCACCAAGGCUACGAUCAGUAGCUGAUCUGAGAGGAUGAUCAGCCACAUUGGGACUGAGACACGGCCCAAACUCCUACGGGAGGCAGCAGUGGGGAAUAUUGGACAAUGGGCGCAAGCCUGAUCCAGCCAUGCCGCGUGAGUGAUGACGGCCUUCGGGUUGUAAAGCUCUUUUGUCCGGGAAGAUAAUGACUGUACCGGAAGAAUAAGCCCCGGCAAACUUCGUGCCAGCCGCCGCGGUAA